rnacentral:rRNA from 1 species
AGUGAACGCUGGCGGUAGGCCUAACACAUGCAAGUCGAACGGCAGCACAGUAAGAGCUUGCUCUUACGGGUGGCGAGUGGCGGACGGGUGAGGAAUACAUCGGAAUCUACUUUUUCGUGGGGGAUAACGUAGGGAAACUUACGCUAAUACCGCAUACGACCUACGGGUGAAAGCAGGGGAUCUUCGGACCUUGCGCGAUUGAAUGAGCCGAUGUCGGAUUAGCUAGUUGGCGGGGUAAAGGCCCACCAAGGCGACGAUCCGUAGCUGGUCUGAGAGGAUGAUAGGCCACACGGGAAAUGAAAAAGGGUCCAGACCCUAAGGGGAGGAAGCAGUGGGGAAUAUUGGAAAAGGGGCGCAAGCCUGAUCAAGCCAUACGGCGUGGUGAAGAAGGCCUUCGGGUUGUAAAGCCCUUUUGUUGGGAAAGAAAAGCAGCAGGUUAAUACCCCGCUGUUCUGACGGUACCCAAAGAAUAAGCACCGGCUAACUUCGUG